GCCACCGGCUCAGCCUCGCGGCGGGGGAAACCCGAGCUCCCAACAAAACAGUUCCAUCUUUGGCUAGGCCUUUGGUAUUUCAAGGCGCUGCCAGUGGGGAGAGAUGCCGCGUGCCCGAGAGGCUCUGGGAGGUCGCCGCAGCUUUCGCUUCCCGGGUCUUACAUUUCCGAAGGGGCUGAACGUCUGCAGAGGAACCGGAGCUGAUGCUGGGGCUGGGGCCGGGGCGGGAAUCUAACGAAUGCACCUCUGGGGAGGCUAGAGGGAGCGCGGCUCAUCCUCCUCCCCGGGCACCAAAGAAGGCCCAGAGAGGUUUAACAACUUCCUCAGAAUCACACAGCUUCCAAAUGGUUGGGUUGGGUUUACAUUUAGGCGGUCUUGCUCCAGAGCCAGUGCACCUAACCUUUGCAAGCCACGAACCUCAACAAAGUGGAGAAGGAAACGCUGGGAAAUUUGGAAGUCAGACAUGGCAAAGAGCUAAUGCUGGCAGCUGUUGGGAUGUCCUCUUCCAGGAAUGGUGAUGAGUUUCCCUGGAUCCAGCCCUGGCUUGGCUGAGGUUUUUCUAACUGUAAGAAGUGGACAAUAGCCUAUGAUCUACAGUGCCCAUUCCAACUCAGAGAAUCUUUACAUCUGGAGAUCUAUAGCAGGGCUAUCCCUAGUGACAUGCGUGAAGAAGCUUGGAAAUGGUGCUGGGUAGGAGCUGAGUGUGCAGAAUGUGGAAAGGCAUUCUAAACCAAAGGAAGAACACGAGUAAAGAUGAUGAAGCAGGGAUAAGGCUAAAAUGAAAUUUGUGAUCUGAUCCACAUACAAGCACAGUGUAGUACAGCUGGAAUAUAGAGAAGAGCUUGAAGACUUAUGAGCAACUAUCCCGGUACUCUUGGAGGCUCUGCAACCACAGUUUGAGAAACUCCGCGUUCAAAGUUAAAAACUGUCACCUGAAUAGUUAAUAACAUCAAAGAUUGUGAAAGCAAGUAUAAAUAACACAGAGAUUAAAAUAAUGAGGCAGG